rnacentral:lncRNA from 1 species
CUGUUUAUCUCUUAUUCUCAGUCGGAAGUAUCCUCAACCAUCUAAUUUCAUGAUGGAUUGCAUCUGGGCCUUCGGAUUGUGCAAAAGAGUCCUUUCAACUGACAACGAGUAUGGACCAUCGGAUUUUUUCCAAAAUCGAUAUCAACUGUUAAAUCAUGCAAAAGAGGCUUCCACUGUCCAUAGACCAUGCCUGUGGAUUGUCUAUUGUUUCUAGUGGAUCACGCCCCUGAAUCUAUGGACCG